rnacentral:rRNA from 1 species
UACGUAGGGUGCAAGCGUUAAUCGGAAUUACUGGGCGUAAAGCGUGCGCAGGCGGUGAUGUAAGACAGAUGUGAAAUCCCCGGGCUCAACUUGGGAACUGCAUUUGUGACUGCAUCGCUGGAGUGCGGCAGAGGGGGACGGAAUUCCGCGUGUAGCAGUGAAAUGCGUAGAUAUGCGGAGGAACACCGAUGGCGAAGGCAAUCCCCUGGGCCUGCACUGACGCUCAUGCACGAAAGCGUGGGGAGCAAACAGG